AGACCCGAAACCCGGUGAUCUAGCCAUGGGCAGGUUGAAGGUUGGGUAACACUAACUGGAGGACCGAACCGACUAAUGUUGAAAAAUUAGCGGAUGACCUGUGGCUGGGGGUGAAAGGCCAAUCAAACCGGGAGAUAGCUGGUUCUCCCCGAAAGCUAUUUAGGUAGCGCCUCGUGAAUUCAUCUCCGGGGGUAGAGCACUGUUUCGGCUAGGGGGCCAUCCCGGCUUACCAACCCGAUGCAAACUGCGAAUACCGGAGAAUGUUAUCACGGGAGACACACGGCGGGUGCUAACGUCCGUCGUGAAGAGGGAAACAACCCAGACCGCCAGCUAAGGUCCCAAAGUCAUGGUUAAGUGGGAAACGAUGUGGGAAGGCCCAGACAGCCAGGAUGUUGGCUUAGAAGCAGCCAUCAUUUAAAGAAAGCGUAAUAGCUCACUGGUCGAGUCGGCCUGCGCGGAAGAUGUAACGGGGCUAAACCAUGCACCGAAGCUGCGGCAGCGACGCUGAUGCGUUGUUGGGUAGGGGAGCGUUCUGUAAGCCUGCGAAGGUGGCCUGUGAGGGUUGCUGGAGGUAUCAGAAGUGCGAAUGCUGACAUAAGUAACGAUAAAGCGGGUGAAAAGCCCGCUCGCCGGAAGACCAAGGGUUCCUGUCCAACGUUAAUCGGGGCAGGGUGAGUCGACCCCUAAGGCGAGGCCGAAAGGCGUAGUCGAUGGGAAACGGGUUAAUAUUCCCGUACUUGGUGUUACUGCGAAGGGGGGACGGAGAAGGCUAUGUUGGCCGGGCGACGGUUGUCCCGGUUUAAGCGUGUAGGUGUGUGUUCCAGGUAAAUCCGGUUCACUUUAACACUGAGGCGUGAUGACGAGGCACUACGGUGCUGAAGCAACAAAUGCCCUGCUUCCAGGAAAAGCCUCUAAGCAUCAGGUAACAUCAAAUCGUACCCCAAACCGACACAGGUGGUCAGGUAGAGAAUACCAAGGCGCUUGAGAGAACUCGGGUGAAGGAACUAGGCAAAAUGGUGCCGUAAC
rnacentral:rRNA from 1 species